UGAAUGACUCUCGGCAACGGAUAUCUCGGCUCUUGCAUCGAUGAAGAACGUAGCGAAAUGCGAUACUUGGUGUGAAUUGCAGAAUCCCGUGAACCAUCGAGUCUUUGAACGCAAGUUGCGCCCGAGGCCACUAGGUUGAGGGCACGUCUGCCUGGNCGUCACAC
rnacentral:rRNA from 1 species